rfam:Gossypium hirsutum cultivar TM-1 chromosome 20, whole genome shotgun sequence
UGUUAAAAUUUUCAUCCAUUUCUACUAUUAAUAACUAACAUGGCUGACGAAAUAACCAGACAGUUAUACGUGAUAUGUUACGUACACUUCAUGCUGAUGUACAAGGACCAAUUUUUAACUGUAGAAAUGGAUAAAAUUUUUAACA